rnacentral:rRNA from 1 species
AUACGUAGGGUGCGAGCGUUAAUCGGAAUUACUGGGCGUAAAGCGUGCGCAGGCGGUUUUGUAAGACAGGCGUGAAAUCCCCGGGCUCAACCUGGGAAUGGUGCUUGUGACUGCAAGGCUAGAGUGCGUCAGAGGGGGGUAGAAUUCCACGUGUAGCAGUGAAAUGCGUAGAGAUGUGGAGGAAUACCGAUGGCGAAGGCAGCCCCCUGGGACGAGACUGACGCUCAUGCACGAAAGCGUGGGGAGCAAACAGGAUUAGAAACCCUUGUAGUCC